rnacentral:rRNA from 1 species
GUAUCCUACGGGGGGCAGCAGUGAGGAAUAUUGGUCAAUGGGCGGUAGCCUGAACCAGCCAAGUAGCGUGAAGGAUGAAGGUUCUAUGGAUUGUAAACUUCUUUUAUAAAGGAAUAAAGUGAGGCACGUGUGCCUUUUUGUAUGUACUUUAUGAAUAAGCAUCGGCUAACUCCGUGCCAGCAGCCGCGGUAAUACGGAGGAUGCGAGCGUUAUCCGGAUUUAUUGGGUUUAAAGGGUGCGUAGGCGGAUUUUUAAGUCAGCGGUAAAAUGUCCGGGCUCAACCCGGGCCGGCCGUUGAAACUGGG